ensembl:lncRNA
GUAGCCUAGUGGUUAGAGUGUUGGACCAGUAACCGAAAGAUUGCUGGAUCAAAUCCCCUGAACUGACAAGGUAAAAAUCUACCCCUGAACAAGGCAGUUAACCCACUGUUUCCAAGCCGUCAUUGUAAAUGAGAAUUUGUUCUUCACGGACUUGCCUAGUUAAAUAUGAAAUAUUCAUGAGAUCUCUAAACAGCAACAAGACAGUGUCAUCAACCAAUGAAUGGAAACUUUCAGGUCUAAUGUUUUUAGUUUUUAGCUAGUGAAAAAUAUGACUUAACUUCACCGACAUUUAGUUGCAAAUAUUUAUUGUGCAUUGGGGAAUAUGCUAAUUAGCUAACAUUAAUGUUAUCAUUCCUCAACAACUCUUCCUCUCUGACAACAGUCAGCUACCAAAGCGACAAUAGCUACUUCAUCUGGAAAAAAUAAUAUUGACAAGUCAAAAAAAUGACAACCUAUAUUUAGCUAUUAAAACGACUGACUUAACUUGCCAAGAAGUUGCAGUUGGUUCUCACUUCUCUUCUCAAUGAAUGUGAAAUACCUUCUUAUAGGAAGUCAGGUGGUUGAUGAUAACAACCCAUAUCAAAUAUUCAAAGAGGUAUUCAAAUAAGGGUAUCCACCAAUCCAAAACAAGGACUAGGCAGAAAGUUCACAUUGUUAGGAUAGAGACUAGAUCAUAUUGUCAUUAUAUAGAGUAACUCUGACUAAAUAUGGCUGGGUUUAUAUCUGGUGGGUACUGGGUAGUAAAUGGCUGUGUGAGGCUUUAUCCUAAACCAUUCCAGAGUUUGUGGACAAUGAUCCACAUUGUUAGGAUAGAGACUAGACCAUCUUGUCAUUAUAUAGAGUAUCUCUGACUAAAUAUGGCUGAGUUUAUAUCUGGUGGGUACUGGGUAGUAAAUGGCUGUGUGAGCCUUUAUCCUAAACCAAGAGUGACACCUGGUGGUUACUAUAUGCAUUACAUGCAGGUUUCUCGUAAAGCAAAACCAAUGAAAGCAAAUACUGCAAUCCAGCCACAUAUAUGUUUAGUUGUCAAAAAACAGAUGAAAGACACUGUAGACACAUCUAUAUUUUUUAAAUACAACUUUUUUGUUGUUGUUGUUACAAUUACACAAACAUUUGUGGCAUUCUUCAAUUAUAUAAAAAAUAAAAAUCAACAGCACACAACCAAUGGCUCAAAUUAAAAGUUUUAAAACAUUUGUACCCAAAGUAGUAUAUCCCCAAUACUGUCCUUUACAUCCAUUUGACUAUGCUGGUUUUUACACGAUCAAUUGAUCAUCUCUGAGUUAUUGAUCAAUGCGCUCAAAUCAAUGGAAGUGGAAAUAAACUAUUGUGUAGCAGUGAAGUGGAUGUGUCAACCAGCAUUCGGUUCAACUCAACAACGUCAUGUCAUCGGCCUGGGAGACAUCUAUCAGUUUGUGCCGUCAUUGACAAUGACAGCAAUGGAGUUGGCAAGACAACACAAACAGAUCUGGGACCCGCCUGGUGGUCUUUUCAACCAGUUUGGCUCACCGGGAGGGCUGACGAGUCAUUACACAGGCCAGACAGAAUUCAUUACUGCAAUGAUACGGAUAAUGACAAGUAUAGUGACUUGGAGAGUACAGGAACUAGAAAAGUACAGGAAAGUAUAGGAACUAGGAAAGUACAGGAAAGUACAGGGACUAGGAGAGUACAGGGACUAGGAGAGUACAGGGACUAGGAGAGUACAGGGACUAGGAGAGUACAGGGACUAGGAGAGUAUAGGGACUAGGAGAGUAUAGGGACUAGGAGAGUACAGGGACUAGGAGAGUAUAGGGACUAGGAAAAUAAAAACCAACCAACUAACUACUUUAGACCAGAGUCCUAUGGCACCCUAUUCCCUAUAUAGUACACUACUUUAGACCAGAGCCCUAUGGCACCCUAUUCCCUAUAUAGUGCACUACUUUAGACCAGAGCCCUAUGGAACCCUAUUUCCUAUAUAGUGCACUACUUUAGACCAGAGCCCUAUGGUACCCUAUUCCCUAUAUAGUGCACUACUUUAGACCAGAGACCUAUGGUACCCUGUUCCCUAUAUAGUGCACUACUUUAGACCAGAGCCCUGUUCCCUAUAUAGUGCACUACUUUAGACCAGAGCCCUAUGGCACCCAAUUCCCUAUAUAGUGCACUACUUUAGACCAGAGCCCUAUGACACCCUAUUCCCUAUAUAGUGCACUACUUUAGACCAGGACGCAUAGGGAUCAGGUCUAAAGUAGUGUGCCCUAUAUACAGUAGAGACCUGGAAGCCAGUUCCACUGCUUUUCUCCCAUAAUUCCACCUCUAACCUGGGACACCAGGUGGGGGCAAUUAUUAUCAGGUAGAACAGAAAACCUGCAGGAAUCAGGACCUCGUAGGGUCAGAGUUGAAUACCUCUGAAAACACACACACACACACACACA